UGGGGAAUUUUGGACAAUGGGCGCACGCCUGAUCCAGCAAUGCCGCGUGCAGGAUGAAGGCCUUCGGGUUGUAAACUGCUUUUGUACGGAGCGAAAAGGUCUGCCCUAAUACGGUGGGCUCAUGACGGUACCGUAAGAAUAAGCACCGGCUAACUACGUGCCAGCAGCCGCGGUAAUACGUAGGGUGCGAGCGUUAAUCGGAAUUACUGGGCGUAAAGCGUGCGCAUGCGGUUAUAUAAGACAGAUGUGAAAACCCCGGGCUCAACCUGGGACCUGCAUUUGUGACUGUAGAGCUAGAGGACGGGAGAGGGGGAUGGAAUUCCGCGUGUAGCAGUGAAAUGCGUAGAGAUGAGGAGGAACACCGAUGGCGAAGGAGAUCCACUGGACGUGUACUGACGCUCAUGCACGAAAGAGUGGGGAUCAAACA
rnacentral:rRNA from 1 species